AUGUGUAACUUACACGAAAUUACGUGAGCUAAUUGCUGUUAAUUAAUAUGUAACAUAAUAGUGAUAUGAGUGGCAAUUAGGGGUGAUAGGCUUAUCAAACGUAAGAUAUCUUGAUUCUUAUGAUAUGUAGUAGUACAUAGACAAUUUAAGAGUUAUAAGGCUUUUAAAAUUAAUAAAGUUUUAAUUUAAAUAUAAAGUUGGUUUAAACGCCCACAUUCUAGAAAUAUAAUAUUAAUAGUGUAUAAUUAUUUAAAUUAAUGAGAUUCAAUAAAUUCUAAAGGAUGAUAAUAAUGUUUUCAUGAGUACUAAGUAGUUAUUAAUAGUGAACUCGGCAUUUUGCUUUCAACUGUUUACCAAAAACAUAGCCAUGUGUAUAUACACAUGGUAAUUUCUGCUCAAUGAAUAAUUAAAUAGCCGCAGUACCUUGACUGUGCAAAGGUAGCGUAAUCAUUUGUCUCUUAAUUGGAGUCAUGUAUGAAAGAACAUAUGGGGGCAAUCUUUACCAUUGAUAAUGCAAGAAUUUACUUAAUGGGUGCAAAAUCCCAUCAAUAAUAAAUAGACGAGAAGACCCUAGAAAUUUAUAAAAACGUUUUGUUGGGGCAACAUGGUAGCAGAUAAUCUACUAUAUGUAUAUGACAUAAUAUAGAUAAAUAAAAUUACUCUAGGGAUAACAGCAUAAUCUAUAAAUGUUUGUGACCUCGAUGUUGGAUUAGGGAGUUGUUGUUUUAGA
rnacentral:rRNA from 1 species